CGGGAGGCUGCAGUAGGGAAUUUUCCGCAAUGCACGAAAGUGUGACGGAGCGACGCCGCGUGUGUGAUGAAGGCUUUCGGGUCGUAAAGCACUGUUGUAAGGGAAGAAUAACUGAAUUCAGAGAAAGUUUUCAGCUUGACGGUACCUUACCAGAAAGGGAUGGCUAAAUACGUGCCAGCAGCCGCGGUAAUACGUAUGUCCCGAGCGUUAUCCGGAUUUAUUGGGCGUAAAGCGAGCGCAGACGGUUUAUUAAGUCUGAUGUGAAAUCCCGAGGCCCAACCUCGGAACUGCAUUGGAAACUGAUUUACUUGAGUGCGAUAGAGGCAAGUGGAACUCCAUGUGUAGCGGUGAAAUGCGUAGAUAUGUGGAAGAACACCAGUGGCGAAAGCGGCUUGCUAGAUCGUAACUGACGUUGAGGCUCGAAAGUAUGGGUAGCAAACGGGAUUAGAUACCCCGGUAGUCCAUACCGUAAACGAUGGGUGCUAGUUGUUAAGAGGUUUCCGCCUCCUAGUGACGU
rnacentral:rRNA from 1 species